UACGGAGGAUGCGAGCGUUAUCCGGAUUUAUUGGGCGUAAAGGGAACGCAGGCGGUCUUUUAAGUCUGAAGUGAAAGCCUUCGGCUUAACCGGAGUAGUGCAUUGGAAACUGGGAGACUUGAGUGCAGAAGAGGAGAGUGGAACUCCAUGUGUAGCGGUGAAAUGCGUAGAUAUAUGGAAGAACACCAGUGGCGAAAGCGGCUCUCUGGUCUGUAACUGACGCUGAGGUUCGAAAGCGUGGGUAGCAAACAGG
rnacentral:rRNA from 1 species